CUGCCAUAAAUAGGCAGCUAGGGCGCGCUCGCUUCAGCCCAAUUGCUAACUACAAGUAGGGUAGUCUGUCCUCAGAGUGCUUGUAAAUGCAUGGCAGGACUGCUACUGGGCCACCUGGGUCCCUGUCAAUGACUUGUGCUUCAGCCUUGGAGGCAGCAGCACCCCGCUUUCAGCAGAGGAUGUCUGUGGGGCUCCAGGUAUGCGGAGUUGCAGGGGUUGCUGGGCCUCAGGGCAGGAUGUAGUCUGCUGGGGACUGGGCUCUCAAAAUGGCGUCUUGCUGUGGCUGCUUAGGGCUCAGGGGAUGUGUGGGACCUAGCGUGAGUUUCCCCCUGGAGCAAUGCCAUCUGUGAUCUCCAGGACGCUCCCUAUGUUAGUCACAGGGCUUGUGUGGGUCGAGGGGCUCUCGUAGGGCUGGGAUUGCAGUAGUCCAUGAUGGGAAUGCAGACCGCUGUGGGUAAGUCAUUUACUCUUUCCUCACACUGGGGAGCCUCUCCAGGCUCCCAGCCAGUCCUGGCAGACUGUCUCUCUUACCGCUUGCGCUCCUUCCUCACCUCAGGUGUUUUCUGUCACUUCUCCGUUAAAUCCAGUGUUCUCUUUUUGGUGGUGUAUUAAACGUGUGAUUAUGCGCUGUUUCACUUCUUGAUGGAGGAGGCAAGGACCAGAUGCCUCUAGUUAGCCAUCUUGGAGCCCCUCCAAGGCCCUACUUGUCAAUAUCAUUACAACAGGGAAUACGUUUUAAUCUAAACUGUGGAGGAAG
rnacentral:lncRNA from 1 species